UACGAAGGGGGCUAGCGUUGCUCGGAAUCACUGGGCGUAAAGGGUGCGUAGGCGGUCUUUAAGUCAGGGGUGAAAUCCUGGAGCUCAACUCCAGAACUGCCUUUGAUACUGAAGAUCUUGAGUUCGGGAGAGGUGAGUGGAACUGCGAGUGUAGAGGUGAAAUUCGUAGAUAUUCGCAAGAACACCAGUGGCGAAGGCGGCUCACUGGCCCGAUACUGACGCUGAGGCACGAAAGCGUGGGGAGCAAACAGG
rnacentral:rRNA from 1 species